GUUUUUCAGUAUAUCAUUCAUAUUAAGGCUCAACUUUGAUUUCUUUUCAAAAAUGUAUUUGUAACCUAAAACAAUUUAAGUCAUCAGAUUACUUUAAGCAAGUAAAGUAUUGAAAUGGGAAGUGUGGAGGCAGCCGCCCUAGGACAUCCGCAACACCUGGGGUCAAAUGCGAUAUUUCCGAGCACGAGCUGCUGCUUACAACCGACAAAGUGUCCCCCGACGGCGGCCGAGCGCGGACUGGCAGCUGGCAGUGAUCAGAAAAG